ACUCAAAUAGUUUAAGUAAAAUAUCGGUCUGUGAUUCCGGAGAUAUAAUUUUUUAUUUUGGGUA
rnacentral:tRNA from 2 species